rnacentral:lncRNA from 1 species
CCCCCGCCGCACCCGCCCCGGCGGCGGACAUGGUGGUGGUGGGGAGGAGAGUGAGGUUCUCCUCCUCCUGCUGCUGCUGAUGCCCCAUCUCGAGGACGAGGAGAGGGGGUUACCGGAGGAGGAGGAGCUCAGCUCGAUCUGAGGAGUGGCUCCCUCGCUGAUGGCUUCCGCCGCGUUAGGACGAAGGAGUGAGGGGAGGGGACACGUGGCGGGAGAGCUGGUGGAUUAAUUACGAGGCUCCGUUGCUGAUGAGAAAAUUGCUAUUCUACCUUACCUUUCUUUAAUACGUGGGUCUAUAUAUAUAAUCCGAAUUUGUAUUCGCUGAA